AUUGAACGCUGGCGGCAGGCCUAACACAUGCAAGUCGAGCGGAUGAAGGGAGCUUGCUCCUGGAUUCAGCGGCGGACGGGUGAGUAAUGCCUAGGAAUCUGCCUGGUAGUGGGGGAUAACGUCCGGAAACGGGCGCUAAUACCGCAUACGUCCUGAGGGAGAAAGUGGGGGAUCUUCGGACCUCACGCUAUCAGAUGAGCCUAGGUCGGAUUAGCUAGUUGGUGGGGUAAAGGCCUACCAAGGCGACGAUCCGUAACUGGUCUGAGAGGAUGAUCAGUCACACUGGAACUGAGACACGGUCCAGACUCCUACGGGAGGCAGCAGUGGGGAAUAUUGGACAAUGGGCGAAAGCCUGAUCCAGCCAUGCCGCGUGUGUGAAGAAGGUCUUCGGAUUGUAAAGCACUUUAGGUUGGGAGGAAGGGCAGUAAGUUAAUAUCUUGCUGUUUUGACGUUACCAACAGAAUAAGCACCGGCUAACUUCGUG
rnacentral:rRNA from 1 species